AUGGGUCCAGAGCUCGGGGCUGCGCUGCUGACAACAUAUGCCUGGGCAUCAGGAGUUCUGUCUCGGAGCCCAUGCCGUACGAUCACAGGUGGCCAAAGGUGGCCAAAGGUGGGUAUUCCUGGAGUGAGUUCAUCGCCUGCCGUCAGAAACCAGUCUACUCCAGACACACUGGCAGUUAGGAUGAGAGUGGAUCCCAUAGCAGGCAAGUCAAGAAACAGGUUCUGCUUAUUUUUCUUGCCUUUAACAGCUAACUCUCAACCCCACCCUUCCUCCCCGCCCCCCAAAACACCUGCACACAAGUCGGAGAACCGGAAAAACAAUAUAACCUGCAAGAUCAGGACCAGUUCCAGGUUAAUGUGUGAAGAAAGGGUGGCUUUUCUCCACUUUCUUCCCCUUUUUCUCCCUCAGACCCCAAAUUUCUUCUCAAACCUGCCUUUUUCUUUUUGCUUCUCAGAAAAGCAGAAAAUGAGUUAAUCAACCUCAAAGAUUCUUCCAAUACUGAGUGUCUUAAGAUUCUAAACAUGUGUUCAAAACAGGAAAAGGCAGGGGACUUGAACACCUUCCAAAUUUUCUGUCACUUGGGGUUCUAUCAGUGAGCAGAACCGUUUAAAAGGCAAGUGAUCUCUGAGCAGUGGGCCUGCAAGACCUUUACCCGUGUUCCCUCAUCUCCUUCUUGAGUCCUUUCCUGAGCUUUGUCAUGCAGAACAGUGGUCAUUCAAGACUUUUCACUGUUGUAGGUAGCAAAAAAUAUUUGAGCAUGUGCGCCUAAUAUCUGGGUAUUUAUUAGUGAUAUCUAUCUAUCUAUGUAUGUAUCCAUCCACCAUCUAUAUUACUUUGGGAAUACACUUUGUCCGUUAUGAAAUGUAAACAAAAAUAAAAAAGAUGAUAUUUAAAAAAAGUAUAGUAAAUCUAUAACAAUUUCUCUUCAUCUUCAACAAACUGUCUUGAACCCUCCUUUGGAGGGUCCUCCACUUAAGAGACCACUGGAGAAGAGGAGAGAGACCACUGGAGAGAGGAUGUUGGCAAAGGACCCAGAGCAGCAACAAAACCCGCAUCCCCUGUGGUUGGUUCCACCCAUUCAAAUGGGUUAACCGCUUGCUUUCUUUAACAGGCAAAUCCAGCCACGCCCUCUGUCUGAUCCACAGCCAUCUCCUCACCCCAUUCUGAGCUCACUACAUUGCCUUUCCUGGGUCUGAGGCUCUCACCAUGGCCCUCCUGACCAGGUAACCACCUAAGGAACGUUAUUACCUAAAUGUCCAACAGGCACCGCAGUCACCGAUUCACAGGAGACUGAACUGAGAGCCCAGAAGCAGCUUUAGCCUCCUUUCUUUGCCUCCCAGGUCCACAUCUCCCCGAACAUCCUGGUGCUUCUCUAUCCUGCACUUCAGCUCCUGCCCCAGUGCAUUGCCGCCCUCACUUCCUGCCUCUGUAGCUUCAGGGGUCUCUUAUGGAACUGCUCUGCCUCCAAUCCUCUCUUCUCAGGCCUGCCGAGCAUGCUCUUCCUUUGCUCCACUGGAUCAUGGUUGCUUAAGGCCCUUCAGUGGCUCUCCAAUCCUUCAGAAAAAAAAUAAAAAUGGAAACACUUCACCACGGAUGCGAUGAGACUCUCCUUCAUCCUCUUUGCCAAAUCUUCAGGACGUCACAUGGCAGAGCAUCUGCUUCUCUCAUUUCCAUAGGUUUCCCUCUCCUUCUUCAUUGGUUAACCCAUAUCAUCAUUGAACUCCACUCAGAAUCUACGUCCCCCGAUGAAGCCUUCUCUGAUCUUCCUUCUGGGCUUCAAGAGGAUUUAUUGUGUCAGUGAUAACAUUUUAUGGUUUGGUUUCACUAAAAUUUGCCAGGGCUAGGGCCCAAUUCUUAAUUUGUCUGUGGGUCCUUAGAAUAGUAGUUCUCACACUUUAAUAUUCAGACUAACAGCUGGAGGUGUUUUUAAAAUAAGUGCAAUUCCAGACUGAGUAGGUUUGGGGUAGAGCCCAGCCAUAAGCAUUUGCAACUAGAUUCUUCUUCCAAGGAGGAGGUUUCUCAUCCACCUCCUCCUCAGAGUUUCGCACAGAGGAGGAGCUAAGACUUUCCAUUAAUAGCAGUGAGAAAAAGAAUUCUACUUCCUUCUUUUGUCUUUCCAUCCCUGAUAAUCAAAUGCACUAANNNNNNNNNNNNNNNNNNNNNNNNNNNNNNNNNNNNNNNNNNNNNNNNNNNNNNNNNNNNNNNNNNNNNNNNNNNNNNNNNNNNNNNNNNNNNNNNNNNNNNNNNNNNNNNGUUGCCAUUCCCUUCUCCAAGGGAUCUUCCCAACCCAGGGAUCAAAUCUGAGUUUCGUGUAUUGCAUGCAGAUACUUAACCACUGAGCCACCAGGGAGGCCCAUAAUAUGGGCCAAGACAGACCAUAUUGACUCUGCUUUUGGAAGUGGGACCUUUGACAGACUAUACCUGGGUACAGAGAUGCACCCCGCCCCCCCUACCACACACACACACAGUAUGAAGCUGACCUGUGGACCUGCUUUUGUUGCCUGUGAGUGAGUGUGUGUGUAUGUACACACACAUAUACAAAUUUAUAUAAAUCAUCUUUAUUACUAACAAUUAAAAACAGUUUAAAAAACACAAGAGGAUCUUCUCAUGUGCCUCUUAGCCAUCUGUCUGUCUUCUUUGGAGAAGUACCUAUUUAGGUCUUCCACCCAUUUUUUGGAUUGGGUUGUUUGUAUUUUUGAUAUUGAGCUGUGCAUGUGUGCAUGCUAAGUCGCUUCAGUCGUGUCCUAUGAACCUAAGGACUGUAGCCUGCCAGGCUCCUCAAUCCAUGGGAUUUUCUAGGCAAGAGUACUGGAAUGGGUUUGGCCUCCUCCAGGGGAUCUUCCUGACCCAGGGAUUCAACCCUGGUAUCCCGCUUUACAGGCAGAGUCUUUACUACUGAGCCACUGGGGAAGCUCCCGAUAUUAAGCUGCAUGAGGUGUUUGUUUAUUUUGGAAAUUAAUCCCUUAUCAUUUGCAUAUAUUUUCUCCCAUUCAGAGGGUUGUCUUAUCUUGUUUACAGUUUCCUUUGCUGUGUAAAAGCUUUUAGGUUUAAUGAGGUCCCAUUUGUUUAUUUUUGUUUUUAUUUUCA
ensembl:lncRNA